rnacentral:rRNA from 1 species
UACGGGGGGGGCAAGCGUUUGUUCGGAAUUACUGGGCGUAAAGGGCUCGUAGGCGGCCAACUAAGUCAGACGUGAAAUCCCUCAGCUUAACUGGGGAACUGCGUCUGAUACUGGAUGGCUUGGAUUCGGGAGAGGAAUGCGGAAUUCCAGGUGUAGCGGUGAAAUGCGUAGAUAUCUGGAGGAACACCGGUGGCGAAGGCGGCAUCCUGGACCGACACUGACGCUGAGGAGCGAAAGCCAGGGGAGCAAACGGGG